GGAAGCAGUGAUGAGGUGAGGGACAUGCUGCACCCAUGAGUGGAGAGAGAGAGAGAGAGAGAGAGAAAGAGAGAGAGAGAGAGAGAUAGAGAGAGAGAGAGAGAGAGAGGAAGUCCAACACCUCAGGACUUCUUGCUUCAGACGUCACUGAUGAGAGGAAGGAGGCAGAGGACCCUCGCCACCAGUGAGGAAAGAGUCAGAGGCGACCAGGACGCACAGAGAGUGGAGUUUGAGUGCUUGGGUGAAGAGAGAGAGAGAGAGAGAGAGAGAGAGAGAAAGAGAGAGAGAGAGAGAGAGAGAGAGAGAGACCCUCCUCUCUGCAGGUUAGCCCAUGACAGAAGAUGAAAAGGCAGAUCACCAAUGCCCUCGCUGACUUCUUUUUUGAGUAUGAGACCCCUCGCCAGGUGUUGGUCAGGAACAGUAAGGUGGGAGUGGUGUGCCGUCUGAUCCAGCUGGGAGUCGUGGCUUACAUCAUUGGAUGGGUUUUCAUCUACGAGAAAGGCUACCAGUCCACGGACACGGCAGUCAGCUCCGUCUUCACCAAAAUGAAAGGCGUGGGCUACACCAGUGUGAAUGGAUAUGAGAGAAUCUGGGAUGUGGCUGACUACGUCUUCCCACCGCAGGGGGACGCAUCAUUUGUGGUGAUGACAAACUACAUCGUAACUGAAGGUCAGACUCUGGGAAAAUGUCCAGAGCUCAAAGGCCACAACAGCUGCAGCUCGGACGCCGACUGUGAAGGAGGGAAUUUGAAACGUACGGGACAUGGGCAAAUGACAGGAGUCUGUGUGAACACCACGAAGACCUGUGAGGUGUUGGCUUGGUGCCCUGUUGAGGAUGAUAAGAUUAUACCAGAUCCUCCUCUGUUGAUGUCUGCCGAAAACUACACUCUGUUCAUCAAAAACUCUGUAACCUUCCCCUUAUUUGAUGUCACAAGGAGUAACCUUGUGGACGGCGUUGAUAACGCAUACAUCAACAAAUGCUACCAUGAUCCGGAAACUGAUCCACUGUGUCCAAUAUUCAGACUGGGAGACAUAGUUAGACUCUCUGGCUUUGAUUUUGAAACUAUUGCCAGAGUGGGAGGGGCCAUUGGCAUUGUGGUCGACUGGACAUGUAACUUUGAUGUGGCUGUCAAACACUGUAUACCAAAAUACAACUUCCAUGGUCUGUAUGGAAACCCUGAGGAGACAGACAAAACCAAAGCAUCAGUGGGCUACAACUUCAGGUAUGCAAGGCAUUAUUUUGAGGAUAAAGUUCAGAAGAGAACCCUUCUCAAAGUAUUUGGGAUCAGAUUGGAUAUCAUUGUGCAGUCCCUGGCAAGAAAGUUUGACGUCAUCCCAACCCUGAUGGCGAUAGGCUCUGGAGUGGGAAUUUUUGGAGUGGCCACUGUCGUAUGUGACUUGAUGCUGCUCUACCUGCUGCCUAAAAGAGAGUUUUACAAGAACAUGAAAUUUAAACAUACUAAUUCACAUGUACCGUUCUUCUGAAGGACAGCUACAGAAACACGGGAACAGUCAACUUCGGAAUUAACGCCGAAAUCUCAGAUCAUCUCACCCCGACAGUGUCCCUAUUUCACCAGUGCAUUUUGUAUUUACAGCAGGACAGUGAGUUGCUUGGUUUAGACACGUGUCUAUUCCACCCUUGAAGCAAAUCGAAGACCAGUCCAAUGUGCUAUAAAGGUCACGACAGUAGAGUAGGUGUUUCUUUACUUUGUGAUGCAAGAAUCCUGAUUUACCUGAUACGUAUCUACGGCUCCUGUCCUGUGUUACUUUUAUUUCAUAGGAUCCUGACUCAGAGGCAGGUAGCGUAGAAACAGAGGCAUCUAAAAAGUGACCUGGGGGCCCAAUGUUCAUGCCAGUGGCCAUGCUGCUUUGAAGGUUUCUGCACUUGAACCCUAUCCUAGUCCGUGCAAGACAACACAAACACACUUUCACAAAUGGACUUGAACCGAGAAGGAAACAAUUUCAAGACAUGGAUAAACGGGCACUCAAUUCCUUGCAGAUCUCCUUCAGAACCUCUUUCCAACGUCCUCCCACUCUUCAAGCCACCCUGAGAGAAUAAGACUCUCGCUGUUGAUGGCGUAGCUCAGCUUUAUGUGUACUUGCUUAUUGGGUGUAACUCGGUUUUCUUCUGUUCACACACUGGGUGUAACCUGCACCUUCCUUAACUGUUCUCCACAUCCUCACUGGUGGUAGAACACCUCCUGGCGCGCUGCAGCGGUCCUGUGUGUAUACACAUCAUCAUCGUCAUCGGUACUCAUCCAUAGCCUCCGUGACUGUCUCUGUCACAGCAGGACACACACGUGAUGGGUGGACGUGCCACCGUCAGAGUGACUCAUCCCUUCCCCAGUGAAUUCAAUAAAAGAUGUACAGUGAUGGUCCCGAUGUUUCUCUUGUCUCACAGUGCAAGUCGUAGAAAAAACAUCAUAUGCGAAAUAUCAAAAAUGUAAUUGUUUUGUUUUUUCAUUGUUUAUGUGUAGGUGUAUAAAAGCAAUCAAAAACUGUG